GUGCAGCAGUCGAGAAUCUUCGGCAAUGGGCGCAAGCCUGACCGAGCGACGCCGCGUGCGGGAUGAAGGCCUUCGGGUUGUAAUCCGCUGUCAGAGGGGAGGAAAUGGCGGCCCUCAGGGUCGUCUUGACCAAACCUCAGAGGAAGGACGGGCUAAGUUCGUGCCAGCAGCCGCGGUAAGACGAACCGUCCAAACGUUAUUCGGAAUUACUGGGCUUAAAGGGUGCGUAGGCGGCCUGGCAAGUUGGGUGUGAAAGCCCUCGGCUCAACCGAGGAAUUGCGCCCAAAACUGCUAGGCUUGAGGGAGAUAGAGGUGAGCGGAACUUGGGGUGGAGCGGUGAAAUGCAUUGAUAUCCCAAGGAACACCAGAGGCGAAAGCGGCUCACUGGGUCUCUUCUGACGCUGAGGCACGAAAGCUAGGGGAGCGAACGGGAUUAGAUACCCACGUAGUCC
rnacentral:rRNA from 1 species